rnacentral:rRNA from 1 species
AGUGAACGCUGGCGGUAGGCCUAACACAUGCAAGUCGAACGGCAGCACAGUAAGAGCUUGCUCUUACGGGUGGCGAGUGGCGGACGGGUGAGGAAUACAUCGGAAUCUACUUUUUCGUGGGGGAUAACGUAGGGAAACUUACGCUAAUACCGCAUACGACCUACGGGUGAAAGCAGGGGAUCUUCGGACCUUGCGCGAUUGAAUGAGCCGAUGUCGGAUUAGCUAGUUGGCGGGGUAAAGGCCCACCAAGGCGACGAUCCGUAGCUGGUCUGAGAGGAUGAUCAGCCACACUGGAACUGAGACACGGUCCAGACUCCUACGGGAGGCCGCAGUGGGGAAUAUUGGACAAUGGGCGAAAGCCUGAUCCAGCCAUACCGCGUGGGUGAAGAAGGCCUUCGGGUUGUAAAGCCCUUUUGUUGGGAAAGAAAAGCAGCAGGUUAAUACCCCGCUGUUCUGACGGUACCCAAAGAAUAAGCACCGGCUAACUUCGUG